rnacentral:tRNA from 1 species
GAGGGUAUAGCUCAGUGGUAGAGUGCAUGCUUAGCAUGGACAAGAUCCUGGGUUCAAUCCCCAGUUCCCCCA